rnacentral:rRNA from 1 species
GACGAACAGCUGGUUCGCCGCCUAAUGCAUGUCCGUCAAAACAAAGCGACCGGGGCUUGCGCUGGUCAAUCUAGUGCCAAACGGCUGACUGACACGGGGGUAACCAGACCAUCUUACGGGGAUAACAUCCGGAAACGGAUGCUAAAACCGCGUAGGUCUUCUAGCCCCCUGGCUUGAAGAGGAAAAGAGGCGCAAGCUUCUGCUGACGGAUGGACCCGCGGUGCAUUAGCUACUUGGUGAAGUGACCGCUCCCCUGGGCCGUGAUGCAUAGCCGACCUGAGAUGGUGAUCGGCCACAUUGCGACUGAUACACAGCCCAAACUCCUACAGCAGGGAACAACAUGGAAUCUUCCGCCCUGGAGGGCAAGUCUGACUGAUCAACGCCGCGUGAGUGAACAAGGCUUUCGGAUCGUCUAACUCUGUUGUUAGAGAAGAACAAGUGCUCCACUAACUGUUAGCGCCUCGCCCGUAUCUUACCGAAAAGCCACUGUGUAACUACGUCGCCCCAGCCGCAGUGAAUACAUGUGUGGCAUGCGUUGUCCAGAUUUAUUGAGCGUCCAGCGAGCGCAAGCGGUUCCUUACGUCUGGAACGAAAGCCCCGCGGCUCAACCGGGGAGGGUCAUUGGAAACUGGUUAACUUGAGUGCAGAAGAGGAGAGUGGAAUUCCAUGUGUAGCGGUGAAAUGCGUAAAUAUAUGGAGGAACACCAGUGGCGAAGGCGACUCUCUGGUCUGUAACUGACGCUGAGGCUCGAAAGCGUGGGUAGCAAACAGGAUUAAAUACCCUGGUAGUCCCCGCCGUAAACGAUGAGUGCUAAGUGUUGGAGGGUUUCCGCCCUUCAGUGCUGCAGUUAACGCAUUAAGCACUCCGCCUGGGGAGUACGACCGCAAGGUUGAAACUCAAAGGAAUUGACGGGGACCCGCACAAGCGGUGGAGCAUGUGGUUUUAUUCUAAGCAACGCGAAAAACCUUACCAAGUCUUGACAUCCUUUGACCACUCUAGAGAUAGAGCUUUCCCUUCGGGGACAAAAUGACAGGUGGUGCAUGGUUGUCGUCAGCUGGUGUCGGGAGAUGUUGGGUUAAGUCCCGCCACGAGCGCAACCCUUAUUACUAGUUGCCAGCAUUCAGUUGGGCACUUUAGUGAGACUGCCGGUGACAAACCGGAGGAAGGUGGGGAUGACGUCAAAUCUUCAUGCCCCUUACGACUUGGGGUACACACGUGCUACAAGGGAUGGUCCACCGAGCAGCGAACUCGUGAGGGUAAGAGAAUCUGUUAAAGCCAUUGUCAGUUCGGAUUGUAGGCUGCAACUCGCCUGCACGAAGCCGGAAUCGUUAGUAAUCGCGGAUCAGCACGACGCGGUGAAAUACGUUCCCGGCUC